CUUCGUUUUUUUUUACGGUUACGAUGAGUCAGCUAGUCCAUGCGUCGCAGAAAACUUAUCGCAGAAUGCUCAGUCGUUGUGUGCGAACAUCGUGUAUGGCCAAUUGCUAAACGACGUAUCGAACAAUAUCCGAAUACGAUACUCGCAAGACAUAGUUGCGCUAACGAGCAAGUACAUCCUCCUCGUGCAAUCAGCAUCUAUCGAUCAGACUGGACCAAAUACAGAUACCCUCGACAUACUUGCGCAAUGAAUAGCGAGUAAAUUCGUUCCAUGUAACGUAGCGCCUAAAAGCAAGAGUAGCGUCGUAAAAUCGAGGCACGUUCGCGUGCCUAUUUUUGCAGACCCGGUUUCCACCCGACUCCUGAUCUUCCACUGCCAACAAGAGUGACGUCCGGUUGCUCGCGUAUUCGAAACGAGAUAAACAGCCGGCUGCUGGCCGGUCGAAGGUUGUCCUUUAGCCACAAAAGCGGCGCAACAAGCUGCCGUGAUCGGUUCCUCGGCUACCUUCGUGUCUCUCCUCGAUCGUUUCUGAUCCAGACCGAUUCCUCGUGGAAUUCUUACCGCUUGGUCGUUUGCCAACAGCCUCACGUGCUGUUUCGAAUCAUUAACUCGUCGUAUUUGCGCCCAGCCUCACCGUUCAUCCAAUCACAUGAGAGAUUCCAACCAACUCGGAAGAAGGAAUAUCGACACCCGGGACUCGACAGACGUCUGUCAGAAUUUGUCAGGCUGUCGUGGAAUUCGUGGUGAAAUGGAAGGUUGAUCGCAGAGGAAGAGGAAAGUCGAGACAGGUUAUGGUGGUUGGUCCAAGGUUGGACACGCCGCUGGGGAAGUUUCGAGGACGAGCUGACGUGCACGUUCGUUUUCCGGCUAGAUUGUGAUGUGCAUGUUAAGUGGAAGUGGAGGCCGGAUCUUGUGCACCGUGGGAGUUUCCGGAGACGCGCGAGACGUCUUGCAAGUGGAUCGCGUGCUUGAGACACGCGCUAUGGCUGGGAAAAUGAGGGGGAUAUUUUAACCGAUGUUGGGAUGUUAAUGAUUAUACUCGAGGGUUGUUUAUUGCCAGAUCGAACAUUGAGAAAUUUCCUUGGCAGUUUCGUUAGUUUUGGAACUCUAGGGAUUUUCGAAUAUUAAUUUUAUGUUUAUGGAUACCUUUUUAUGAUUUAGGAUUUAGUAUUGAUCUAAUAUUAAUAUAACGCAA